CCCUUCCUUUUCUUUUGAACAGCCGCUCAAAACCUGGUCUUCACCUCUGUUCUUGUUUGAUUGCCUGCUAACAUACACACACACCAUGACCAUCUUCCCCCUCCUUCAACCACCCACACUCACCUGCUCCUCCCCUUCAAACGACGGCCAAACGCCUCUACGGCGGUGGCUCACGGCGGCGAGACAGAAACUGAGAGAGGAGGGAGAGAGACGAGACGGGAGAGAGAGAAGGCGGCGGCACGAGUCUCGCGACGGCAAGAACCGACGAAGGUUCCGAUGACCGGUGAGGCACACAGCGGCGACGCUUCGUUUUUCCGGCGAUUCAGAGCUGGUUCGAGCUCCGAUCGAUGUUGAUUCAGUUCUGUUCCAGUUCGAGGCUCCAUUUCGGGUUAGUUUUGAAACCAGAUUUUGUUUUGGGUUUGCUCUGACGAGUCUCGGCGGUGGUGGUCGAUAACUGACCGGCGGCGGUCGGAGCCACGCCGACGCCGGAGACACCAGGGAUGGUAACGGUUAUGGCUGCUUGAGUGCUGGUUCUGAUUUUGGUACACGUUUGGGUUAGCUCGGGUUUUCGGCUUUGUCCAACUCGAGUCUGGUUCGUGUUUCGGCAACAGUUUGGUUCAGAUCUUGGCUCAGCUUAGCUCCGAUUCAGUUUUGGUUCUUGGUUUGAUUCUUACUUCGGUUCAAUCAGUUCGGGUCAGACGCGGUCAACUGGUCAGUCACGGUCAAAGCAGGUCAACGGACAGAUUCGAGUCAUGUCGGUUCCCGCUCAGUUAACUUCGGCUUGCUAAGGUCAAUCUCAGUCAACGCGAACUCGGGUGACCUUGUUGUUCCAUCCUCCUGAACUUAUACGCUUGUCAACACUUGGAUAAUCGGAAGACUUAGCAAUUUGUGGAUGUCGGCGAUGCAUGGAAUUUAGUAGGAUGCUUAGAUACACACUUAAAAAGAAUUGUAUUCAUAUUGUAUUAUUUUUAUUAUUCAUGUUGUUGUAUUUGUUUCAAAAGCCUUGUAAUUGAUCCUUUAGAAAUGGAAUGAAAUGAUUAUUUAAUUAUUGUCACAAA